rnacentral:rRNA from 1 species
CCUACGGGUGGCAGCAGUGAGGAAUAUUGGUCAAUGGACGAGAGUCUGAACCAGCCAAGUAGCGUGAAGGAUGACUGCCCUAUGGGUGGUAAACUUCUUUUGUAUGGGAGUAAAAUGUUCCACGUGUGGGAUGUUGUAUGUACCAUAUGAAUAAGGAUCGGCUAACGCCGUGCCAGCAGCCGCGGUAAUACGGAGGAUCCGGUCGUUAGCCGGAUUUAUUGGGUUUAAAGGGAGCGUAGGUGGAUUGUUAAGUCAGUUGUGAAAGUUUGCGGCUCAACCGUAAAAUUGCAUUUGAAACUGGCAGUCUUGAGUACAGGAGAGGUGGGCGGAAUUCGUGGUGUAGCGGUGAAAUGCUUAGAUAUCACGAAGAACUCCGAUUGCGAAGGCAGCUUACUGGACUGCAACUGACAUUGAGGCUCGAAAGUGUGGGUAUCAAACAGGAUUAGAUACCCCUGUAGUC